AUUGAACGCUGGCGGCAUGCUUUACACAUGCAAGUCGAACGGUAACAGGGUGCUUGCACCGCUGACGAGUGGCGAACGGGUGAGUAAUGCAUCGGAAUGUACCGUGUAAUGGGGGAUAGCUCGGCGAAAGCCGGAUUAAUACCGCAUACGCCCUGAGGGGGAAAGUGGGGGACCGAAAGGCCUCACGUUAUACGAGCAGCCGAUGUCUGAUUAGCUAGUUGGUGAGGUAAAGGCUCACCAAGGCGUCGAUCAGUAGCGGGUCUGAGAGGAUGAUCCGCCACACUGGGACUGAGACACGGCCCAGACUCCUACGGGAGGCAGCAGUGGGGAAUUUUGGACAAUGGGCGCAAGCCUGAUCCAGCCAUGCCGCGUGUCUGAAGAAGGCCUUCGGGUUGUAAAGGACUUUUGUCCGGGAGCAAGUCCUAGUGGUUAAUAACCGCUGGGUCUGAGAGUACGGAAGAAUAAGCACCGGCUAACUACGUG
rnacentral:rRNA from 1 species